GACGAACCGUCCUAACGUUGUUCGGAAUCACUGGGCUUAAAGGGCGCGUAGGCGGCUUGCCAAGUCAGGGGUGAAAUCCUGCAGCUUAACUGUAGAAGAGCCUUUGAUACUGGCGAGCUCGAGGGAGGUAGGGGUGGGUGGAACUUCUGGUGGAGCGGUGAAAUGCGUUGAUAUCAGAAGGAACGCCGGUGGCGAAAGCGACCCACUGGAUCUCUACUGACGCUGAGGCGCGAAAGCUAGGGGAGCAAACGGG
rnacentral:rRNA from 1 species